AGUAUGUUGGCAGAUUAGUGCAAUUGAUUUAGGAUCAAUAUAUGUAUACAUUAUACACAUACUA
rnacentral:tRNA from 1 species